CCUACGGGCGGCUGCAGUAGGGAAUAUUGCUCAAUGGGGGAAACCCUGAAGCAGCAACGCCGCGUGGAGGAUGAAGGUUUUCGGAUUGUAAACUCCUUUUGUUAGAGAAGAUAAUGACGGUAUCUAACGAAUAAGCACCGGCUAACUCCGUGCCAGCAGCCGCGGUAAUACGGAGGGGGCAAGCGUUACUCGGAUUCACUGGGCGUAAAGAGCGCGUAGGCGGGAUAGCAAGUCAGCUGUGAAAUCCUAGGGCUUAACCAUAGAACUGCAUUUGAAACUGUUAGUCUAGAGUAUGGGAGAGGGAGGUGGAAUUCUUGGUGUAGGGGUAAAAUCCGUAGAGAUCAAGAGGAAUACUCAUGGCGAAGGCGACCUGCUAGAACAUAACUGACGCUGAGGCGCGAAAGCGUGGGGAGCAAACAGGAUUAGAUACCCCAGUAGUC
rnacentral:rRNA from 1 species